UAAUACCGGAUAGAUCAAAGAUACAGGGAUGUUCUAUGGUCAAAAACUCUGGUGCCCAAGGAUGGGUCUGCGGCCUAUCAGGUAGUAGUGGGUGUAACGUACCUACUAGCCUACGACGGGUAAGGGUUGUGAGAGCAAGAGCCCUGAGAUGGAUUCUGAGACAUGAAUCCAGGCCCUACGGGGUGCAGCAGGCGCGAAAACUUUACACUGCGGGAAACCGCGAUAAGGGGACCCCGAGUGCCAGCACCUAGUGCUGGCUGUCCAGCUGUCCAAAUAACAGUUGUUAGCAAGGGCCGGGCAAGACCGGUGCCAGCCGCCGCGGUAACACCGGCGGCCCGAGUGGUAGCCGUUAUUAUUGGGUUUAAAGGGUCCGUAGCCGGCCUAUUAAGUCUCUUGGGAAAUCUGGCGACUCAAUCGUCAGGCGUUC
rnacentral:rRNA from 1 species